GAUCCUGGCUCAGGAUGAACGCUGGCGGCGUGCUUAACACAUGCAAGUCGAACGAAGCACUUUACUACGAUUCCUUCGGGAUGACGGUUUAGUGACUGAGUGGCGGACGGGUGAGUAACGCGUGGGGAACCUGCCCCAUACCGGGGGAUAACAGCCGGAAACGGCUGCUAAUACCGCAUAAGCGCACAGUACCGCAUGGUACGGUGUGAAAAACUCCGGUGGUAUGGGAUGGACCCGCGUCUGAUUAGCCAG
rnacentral:rRNA from 1 species